rnacentral:rRNA from 1 species
GGGGAAUAUUGGUCAAUGGGCGAGAGCCUGAACCAGCCAAGUCGCGUGAGGGAAGACGGCCCUACGGGUUGUAAACCUCUUUUGUCAGGGAGCAAGAACAGGCACGUGUGCCUGACUGAGAGUACCUGAAGAAAAAGCAUCGGCUAACUCCGUGCCAGCAGCCGCGGUAAUACGGAGGAUCCGAGCGUUAUCCGGAUUUAUUGGGUUUAAAGGGAGCGUAGAUGGAUGUUUAAGUCAGUUGUGAAAGUUUGCGGCUCAACCGUAAAAUUGCAGUUGAUACUGGAUAUCUUGAGUGCAGUUGAGGCAGGCGGAAUUCGUGGUGUAGCGGUGAAAUGCUUAGAUAUCACGAAGAACUCCGAUUGCGAAGGCAGCCUGCUAAGCUGCAACUGACAUUGAGGCUCGAAAGUGUGGGUAUCAAACAGGAUUAGAUACCCUGGUAGUCCACACGGUAAACGAUGAAUACUCGCUGUUUGCGAUAUACGGCAAGCGGCCAAGCGAAAGCGUUAAGUAUUCCACCUGGGGAGUACGCCGGCAACGGUGAAACUCAAAGGAAUUGACGGGGGCCCGCACAAGCGGAGGAACAUGUGGUUUAAUUCGAUGAUACGCGAGGAACCUUACCCGGGCUUAAAUUGCAGAUGAAUUACGGUGAAAGCCGUAAGCCGCAAGGCAUCUGUGAAGGUGCUGCAUGGUUGUCGUCAGCUCGUGCCGUGAGGUGUCGGCUUAAGUGCCAUAACGAGCGCAACCCUUGUUGUCAGUUACUAACAGGUCAUGCUGAGGACUCUGACAAGACUGCCAUCGUAAGAUGUGAGGAAGGUGGGGAUGACGUCAAAUCAGCACGGCCCUUACGUCCGGGGCUACACACGUGUUACAAUGGGGGGUACAGAGGGCCGCUACCACGCGAGUGGAUGCCAAUCCCAAAAACCUCUCUCAGUUCGGACUGGAGUCUGCAACCCGACUCCACGAAGCUGGAUUCGCUAGUAAUCGCGCAUCAGCCACGGCGCGGUGAAUACGUUCCCG